GGCUGUAGCUCAGUGGUAGAGUGCUUGCCUAGCGAGCAUGAGCCACUGGGUUCAAUCCCCAGUACUGCCU
rnacentral:tRNA from 1 species